rnacentral:rRNA from 1 species
GGACUACAGGGGUUUCUAAUCCUGUUUGCUCCCCACGCUUUCGCACCUCAGCGACAGUAUCGGGCCAGUGAGCCGCCUUCGCCACUGGUGUUCUUGCGAAUAUCUACGAAUUUCACCUCUACACUCGCAGUCCCACUCACCUCUCCCGAACUCAAGCUUCUCAGUAUCAAAGGCAGUUCUGGAGUUGAGCUCCAGGAUUCACCCCUGACUUAAAAAGCCGCCUACGUGCGCUUUACGCCCAGUGAUUCCGAUUAACGCUUG